CCGCCGCCUCCUCGCGUGGCCCUCCGCCGCCGCCUCCCCGGCCGUCAGGAAUCGCGCCCCUCCGCCUCCUCCUCUCGUGGCCUUCAGCCGCCGCCUCCCCAGCCGCCGGGAACCACGCCCCUCUGGUGGUGGCCUCACCGAUUUGGGGUUUGGUGGUGAUUUUGGUGGCGAUUUUGGCAUGAUUUGGUGGUGGAUUUGGGGGAAAUUUGAGGGAAAUGCAGGCUGCGGUAGUGCGGUGGGGAUUGAGGAAAAGGAGGACCCGGAGCCGUGUCGUGGGCCGGCACGAGAAUGGCCAAGCUGCUAUGGCCUGCCGGGCCAGCGGGCCGACACGGCCUGCCUAAGAAGGCAGCAGGUCGGGCCUGGGCCGCUCCUUCAGCAUGUGGGCCGGCCUGGUCUAGCACGGCCGGUCCUAAUCGGGCUCGUGCCAGGCCAGGCUGGGCCGCCCGUUUGGCCAUCUCCCUGAACCCGAAACGGAUUACAGAAAACUCAAAGGGUUUUUUGCAAAAUGUCACGCGCCCGUGGACCCCCGGAAUAAGGGGUCUUCAUUGUUACUGCUCCGCCUCGGCCUAUCCUCCCUACUUCAUUGCUAUUGCUUCCUGCAUUGACUACAACUCAAGCACACUGCCUCUGCCGGAUCUGAAUCUGAUGGAGGCCGUAGAGGACGCGUUUCUGGAGGGCGCGAGCCUCUGGCUGGCGCAAACCAUCCUGCAGAGCCUCUUCACCGGUAAGCUCGAUGAAUGGAUUCGUCAAGUUGGGCUCGCCGACGACGCCGAGAAGCUCAAGUCCGAGGUCGAGCGGGCCGAGGCGGUGGCUGCUGCUGUGAAGGGGAGAACGAUCGGGAACAGGGCGCUGGCCCGAUCGCUCGCUCGUCUCAGGGAGGUGCUCUACGACGCCGACGACGUGGUCGACGAGCUUGACUACUACAGGCUCCAGCACCAGGUCGAAGGAGUUACGCUUCAUAGCGCUAUUGAGCAGGAAGGCAUGGGUGGAGAUGGAGAACAGCAGGUUGAUGCAGCGAGGGACAGCGUUGCUAUGCUGCCAAGUAGCAGCGAUCGGAAGAAACGGUCCAAGGCAUGGGAAGAGUUUCGCGUUAAAGAAUCAGCUGACGGGAAGCCUGUGAAAGCAGAGUGUAUUCACUGUGGCACACUGGUUAGAUGCGAGACUACCAAAGGGACAUCGGUCUUGCACAAUCAUCUCAAGAGUGAGAGUUGCAAGAGAAAACGCGCAGCAAUUGAACAAACGCCAGACCCUCCAAGUGCCGGCGAUGGUGCACAAAACGGUGCCACCGUUUCAACUCAUAAUUCAGAUAUCAGAAAAAGAAUGAGAAUUGUUGAGGUGUCAGCACACAACACGGCAGCUAAGACACACGCCUGGACCAAGGCCGAAUUCUGCAAUAAAAUCCAACAAACGACUUAUCAGUUACGGAAAGCUACCAAUGAGAUUCAGAUGCUAUCUGUAUCGGGCUCUGUUGCAUAUUCGAAUCUCUGUGGGAAUACAACUGCAGAUCCAUGCCGAAGAACGUCAAGUGUUGUUCAGUGCAAAAUGUACGGGAGAGUUGAUGAGAAGAAUUCCAUCAUAAAGUCUAUGACAGAAGUCAAGUUUGACGAUGUAAUUAUUAUUCCAAUUGUAGGCAUGGGCGGAAUUGGGAAGACGGCUCUUUCUCAACUCGUAUACAAUGAUCCAAUUGUGAAAAGCCAAUUUGAUCACAGAAUGUGGAUUUGGGUGUCUAGCAAGUUUGACGAAGUGAGACUUACAAUGGAGAUGUUAGACUUUGUUUCUCAAGAGAAGUGUGUAGGAAUACGGAGCUUGGCUAAACUUCAGGAGAUCUUGGUGACCCAUGUCACAUCAAACAGGACUCUAGUUGUUUUGGAUGAUGUAUGGGAUGACAUCGAUGAUUGCCGAUGGAAUAAACUGUUGGCUCCUUUGAGGUCUGACAAUGCGAAGGGUAAUGUGAUUAUUAUGACAACUAGAAAAUUGUCUAUUGCAAAAAGGAUAUGCACAGUCGAACCGGUCAAGUUAGGUCAUUUGCAAAAUGAUGACUUCUGGUUAUUGUUUAAAACAUGUGCAUUUGGUGAUGAAAAUUACAAAGAGCACCCAAGUCUAACCAUCAUGGGUCAGCAGAUAGCAAAGAAUUUACAUGGUAACCCACAAGCAGCACAAACUGCAGGGAUGCUGUUAAGAGAGCAUCUUACAACUGACCACUGGAGUCACAUUCUAAAGAAUGAAAAAUGGAAAUCCCUGCAACUAAAUGGAGGCAUCAUGCAUGCUUUGAAACUUAGCUAUGAUGAGCUGCCCUUCUAUUUACAACAAUGCUUCUUGUAUUGUUCUAUAUUCCCCAAUGAUCAUCAGUUUAUUAGCAGUGAGCUGAUCUAUAUUUGGAUCGCACAAGGAUUUGUGAAAUGUAGCUGUUCGACUGAGAGAUUGGAGGAGAUGGGACAGAGGUAUCUCACUGAUUUGCUGAACUUUGGAUUUUUUGAGCAAGUUGAAACUAAAGAUCCCACUCUAGGCGAUAAAAUAUUAUAUGUUAUGCCUGCUCUUAUGCAUGACUUUGCAAGGCUGGUUUCAGGAAAUGAAUGUGCAGCUAUAGAUGAUCUGACGUGCAGAGAAAUACUCCCAACUAUACGUCACUUGUCAAUUCUAACUUAUUCUGCGUACCAGGAAGAUAAAUAUGGGGACAUACUUCGUAAUGAGAAGUUUGAAGGAAAAUUGCAAAGAGUAGUUAAUUCAACGAGAAAAUUGAGGACUUUGCUCUUGAUUGGGAAGUAUGACUGCUUCUUCCUCCAAUGUUUACAAGGCCUAUUCCAGAAGGCGCAGAAUUUACGGGCACUGCUAUUUUCUGCAGCAUAUGCUGAUUUUUGUUAUUCAGAAUGCAAUUUGGUAAAUUCUACUCAUGUUCGAUAUCUAAAACUUAGGACCGAAGAGGACAAUGAACCUUUGCCUGAAGCUCUGAGCAAAUUCUACCACCUUCAAGUAUUAGAUAUAGGCUUGGAUAGAUACUCCACUGUACAUAACGGUAUGAAUAAUCUUAUCAGUCUACGGCAUCUUGUUGCAUCGAAGGAAGUGUUCUCUUCAAUUAGUAGAAUUGGCAAAAUGACCUCUCUUCAGGAACUGCAUGACUUUAAAGUUGAUAAUUGCACUAGUUUUGAGAUAGCACAGCUUCAUUCCAUGAGUGAACUCGCUCAGCUUGGUGUUUCCCAACUUGAAAAGGUGGUAACUAGAGAGGAGGCAUAUGGAGCAAACCUGCGAGGAAAAAGUCACUUAGAAAAGUUGCACUUGUCAUGGGAGUAUACAUCACAGCAUGAAUAUGACAUUAACAUUAUCUCAGAGCCUUCUUAUGAGGUAGGAGAGAUAGGGACAAGCAAAGUGGUGCUUGAGGGCCUUGAACCACAUCACAGCCUAAAGCAUCUUCAAAUUUCUGGGUAUCGCAGCGGUACCUCCCCAAAUUGGCUUGUUAGCACUGUCUCGGUUACCUGUUUGCAGACACUUCAUCUAGAGGAUUGUAGGGAAUUGGAAGUGCUUCCCUCAGUAGAAAAGCUUCCACUCCUUACAAAGCUGAAGUUAAGGAAUAUGUGGAAAGUAAGACAGGUAACAGUUCCUUCGUUGGAGGAGCUGGUGCUGAUUAAUAUGCCAAAGUUGGAGUGUUGUUCCUGCAAUUCCGUGAUGGACUUGAACUCCAGUUUAAGGGUCCUCAAGUUUGAGCAAUGUCAUGUUCUGAAGGUCUUUCCCCUCUUUGAGAGCUGGAAGAAAUUAAAAAUUGAGCGCAAGUCAUGGUUGUCCUGUGUUAAGGAACUUACCAUCUGUGAAUGUCCCCAUUUAAUGGUACCGAAUCCUCUACCACCUUCUAGUAAUGUUUGUAAACUACACAUCGCAAGAGUUUCAACACUCCCAACGAUGGAGGGAUCAUCCAGCGAAGAACUGGUAAUCGGAGGACACAAUUUGAGAGAAAACAAUGGGCUGACGGAGCUGGAUGACAGAAUUUUGUCAUUCCAUAAUUUGAGGGCCCUUAGCCGAUUGCGUAUUGCAGGCUGCCAAAAACUAUCUUCUAUUUCACUCGAAGGUUUCAGGCAACUCAUUAGCUUAAAGACUAUGGACAUAAGCUACUGCUUUAACCUUUUCUCUUCAGAUGUCCCACCACCACCAGAGCAUACCCAUGAAGACAUGACCGACAUAAAUUUCAAUGCCCUCCCAUCUCUCAAGCAUCUCAGAAUUGAAUUUUGUGGAAUAACUGGGAUGUGGGUAUCUGUGAUGCUGCGCCAUGCACCAGCCCUAGAGGAAUUGCGCUUGGAUGAUUGCGACCAGAUAUCAGGACUGUUGAUCGAAGUGGGAGAUAGUAGUUCAUCAAAUCACACCUCGGCUCCACGGGCUCCAUCAGCAGGAAACCCAGAUGACGCAUUGACAAGCUCAACUCCAGAUGGACUCCUGCGCAUCCCAUCAAAUUCCGUCUCCUCUCUCAAGAAAAUGUCUAUUCUGUGGUGCGGUGAGCUAACAUUUCAGGGGAACAAGGAUGGCUUCUCUGUAUUCACCUCCCUUGAGGAGCUAACAAUUCGUGGAUGCCCCAAACUGAUCCCGUCUUUGGUGCAGACAUAUGAAAACAACGACCAGCGAAACGGAAGAUGGCUUCUCCCGUAUUCACUUGGCAAACUUGAGAUUGACGGUUCCCCUGAAACGCUGCAGCCCUGCUUCCUAGAAGAUCACAACUGCCUCGAAAAGUUAGAAAUAAAAGAAAGCCCAAGUUUAAAAUUGCUACAGUUGCAUUCCUGCACGGCACUGGAAGAGUUGGCGGUUCAUGAUUGUGAAUCGCUCCCCGCACUAGAGGGGAAUUUCACCUGCCUCAAGAGAUUAGAGCUGUCGUACAACUCAGGGUUGGAAUCGCUACAGCUGCGUUCCUGCACAACGCUGGAAGAGUUGACGGUUGAGUCUUGUGAAUCGCUCGCCACAUUAGAGGGGAAUUUCACCUGCCUCCAAAAAUUAGAUCUGUUUGACAACCCAAGGCUAAAAUCACUACAGCUGCGUUCCUGCACAGCGCUGGAAGAGUUGACGGUUCGGUCUUGUGAAUCGCUCGCUGCACUAGAGGACUUUUGGUCCCUCAGAUGUCUCAGGUAUUUGGUAAUAUCCAAAUGCCCUGGCUUACUUCCUUAUCUGGAACAUCUGUCAAGUGAGGGCUAUGAGCUGUGCGCUGGACUGGAAAGGCUCGACACUGAUUAUUACUCUUUCCUCACCACGUCAUUCUGCAAGUGCCUCACCUCCCUCCGACGCCUAGAGUUACACGAUCCUACGGGGGAAGUGACGGGACUAACGGAGGAGCAAGAGAGAGCGCUUCCGCACCUCACGUCCCUGCAGGAGCUACGAUUUGAGGAUUGCUCCAACCUCGCAGGUCUUCCUGUGGGUCUGCACAGCCUUUCCUCCCUCAAGAGGUUGGAGAUCAAUUAUUGCCCGUUUCUCUCAAGGCUGCCAGAAAAGGGGCUCCCACCUUCGCUUGAAGAACUUAAGAUCUUGGGUUGCAGCGAGGAGCUAGCUGAUGAAUGCAGAAUGCUAGCAACAAAAACAAGGAAGCCAAAAGUCAAAAUUGGUGGGAAAUAUGUGAGCUGAUUACUGGGUGGUUGUUAAGCAGACUUGUCUACCAGCAAAGCGGGUUUCACUCUGUUGCCUUCUGAGGCAUUCAAGCUGCUGUACGUUCCAGUGUUCCACUACUAAAUCUCAUACAACUACGUGCUGUUCAACAAAGCAUCCACACAUCCCUGUUUCUUGCAGAUCACCCAUUGCAGGGCUCAUGUUUGCCAGACGGGAGGCCCAACGCCCAAGGUGUGCUUCUUUUUACUCAUAACCAUCAAAAAUAGAAUUGUUUCGCUUCUCGAACCUCGUCGUCACUGGCCAUAAGCUGCCGAAUGUUAAUAGUUUUGCUGUCAUGUGAACUGAAAACAGUCUGUUUUGUACUUCUAUUCUAUGCUAUUCAUCUCAUCUUGCAAUCUGAACGCUCAAA